rnacentral:rRNA from 1 species
CCUACGGGAGGCAGCAGUGAGGAAUAUUGGUCAAUGGGCUUACGCCUGAACCAGCCAAGUCGCGUGAGGGAAGACUGCCCUAUGGGUUGUAAACCUCUUUUGUCAGGGAGCAACGCCGGCUACGUGUAGCCGGACUGAGAGUACCUGAAGAAAAAGCAUCGGCUAACUCCGUGCCAGCAGCCGCGGUAAUACGGGGGAUGCAAGCGUUAUCCGGAUUUAUUGGGUUUAAAGGGUGCGUAGGCUGUGAGGUAAGUCAGCGGUGAAAUGCCCCCGCUCAACGGGGUGAAGUGCCAUUGAUACUGCCUUGCUGGAAUGCGGAUGCCGUGGGAGGAAUGUGUGGUGUAGCGGUGAAAUGCAUAGAUAUCACACAGAACACCGAUUGCGAAGGCAUCUCACGAAUCCGCGAUUGACGCUGAUGCACGAAAGCGUGGGUAUCAAACAGGAUUAGAUACCCUUGUAGUC